rnacentral:tRNA from 1 species
AACCAAAAAAGUUUCGACCACGGCAGGAUUCGAACCUACAAUCUUCUGCUCCGUAGGCAGACGCGUUAUCCAUUGCGCCACGCGGCCACACA